GCCUUCGUGGUAUAGUGGUGAGCACACUCAGCGUGUAUUCAAGAGGUCCGUGGUUCGAGUUCCGGCGAGGGCA
rnacentral:tRNA from 1 species